rnacentral:rRNA from 1 species
GUCGAGCGGAUGAGGGAGCUUGCUCCUGGAUUCAGCGGCGGACGGGUGAGUAAUGCCUAGGAAUCUGCCUGGUAGUGGGGGAUAACGUCCGGAAACGGGCGCUAAUACCGCAUACGUCCUGAGGGAGAAAGUGGGGGAUCUUCGGACCUCACGCUAUCAGAUGAGCCUAGGUCGGAUUAGCUAGUUGGUGGGGUAAAGGCCUACCAAGGCGACGAUCCGUAACUGGUCUGAGAGGAUGAUCAGUCACACUGGAACUGAGACACGGUCCAGACUCCUACGGGAGGCAGCAGUGGGGAAUAUUGGACAAUGGGCGAAAGCCUGAUCCAGCCAUGCCGCGUGUGUGAAGAAGGUCUUCGGAUUGUAAAGCACUUUAAGUUGGGAGGAAGGGCAGUAAGUUAAUACCUUGCUGUUUUGACGUUACCAACAGAAUAAGCACCGGCUAACUUCGUGCCAGCAGCCGCGGUAAUACGAAGGGUGCAAGCGUUAAUCGGAAUUACUGGGCGUAAAGCGCGCGUAGGUGGUUCAGCAAGUUGGAUGUGAAAUCCCCGGGCUCAACCUGGGAACUGCAUCCAAAACUACUGAGCUAGAGUACGGUAGAGGGUGGUGGAAUUUCCUGUGUAGCGGUGAAAUGCGUAGAUAUAGGAAGGAACACCAGUGGCGAAGGCGACCACCUGGACUGAUACUGACACUGAGGUGCGAAAGCGUGGGGGAGCAAACAGGAUUAGAUACCCUGGUAGUCCACGCCGUAAACGAUGUCGACUAGCCGUUGGGAUCCUUGAGAUCUUAGUGGCGCAGCUAACGCGAUAAGUCGACCGCCUGGGGAGUACGGCCGCAAGGUUAAAACUCAAAUGAAUUGACGGGGGCCCGCACAAGCGGU